rnacentral:rRNA from 1 species
UACGAAGGGGGGCUAGCGUUGCUCGGAAUCACUGGGCGUAAAGGGCGCGUAGGCGGACUUUUAAGUCAGGGGUGAAAAUCCCAGAGCUCAACUCUGGAACUGCCUUUGAUACUGGGUAUCUCGAGUAUGGAAGAGGUGAGUGGAAUUCCGAGUGUAGAGGUGAAAUUCGUAGAUAUUCGGAGGAACACCAGUGGCGAAGGCGGCUCACUGGUCCAUUACUGACGCUGAGGUGCGAAAGCGUGGGGAGCAAACAGG